CUGCCCAGUGAACCACUUAAACGGCCGCGGUAUCCUGACCGUGCAAAGGUAGCAUAAUCACUUGCCCCCUAAUUAGGGGCUAGCAUGAAUGGACAAACGAGAUUAUAGCUGUCUCCUCUACACCCAUAAAAAUUAAUCUACAGGUGAAGAAGCCUGUAUCCAUAUAAAAGACAAGAAGACCCUGUCGAGCUUUAAUUAUUUAUAAAAUAUAGUAACCCUACUCAAUACUCCCUUUUAUAAAUAACUUUUGUUGGGGCGACAAUGGAAUAAAUAAAACCUCCACCAUACUCAAAACACCAAGUUUCUCAAAAGAUCCUCUACAGAUACCAGGCAUCAGCUACCGCAGGGAUAACAGACUAAUCUUCCUUAAGAGCCCAAAUCUACAGGAAGGCUUGGCACCUCGAUGUUGGCUUAGGAUCACACUUGAAUGCAGCCGUUCAAGUUGUAGGNUUGUUCAACCUUUAAUCUCCU
rnacentral:rRNA from 1 species